GGAAAGGAUGUGGGAUUGCACAGACAACUAGGAUGUUGGCUUAGAAGCAGCCAUUCAUUUAAAGAGUGCGUAAUAGCUCACUAGUCGAGUGAUCCUGCGCCGAAAAUUACCGGGGCUCAAAUCUAUUACCGAAGCUAUGGCAUCACACUUAUGUGUGAUGGGUAGGGGAGCAUUCUGUACCGGGCCGAAGCUGUACCGUAAGGAGCAGUGGACUGUACAGAAGAGAGAAUGUUGGCAUGAGUAGCGAGAGGCAGGUGAGAAUCCUGCCCGCCGAAAACCUAAGGUUUCCUGAGGAAGGAUCGUCCACUCAGGGUUAGUCAGGACCUAAGCCGAGGACGAAAGUCGUAGGCGAUGGACAACGGGUUAAGAUUCCCGUACUACCAUUGAUUGUUUGAAGAAUGGGGUGACACAGAAGGAUAGGCUAUCACACUGUUGGUUAUGUGUGUCCAAGCAGUUAGGCAGUUAGAACAGGCAAAUCCGUUUUAACAAUGCUGAGCUGUGAUGGGGAGCGAAAAUUAAGUAGCGAACUAGUCGGUUCCACACUGUCAAGAAAAGCCUCUACUUAGAGAAAUGGUACCUGUACCGCAAACCGACACAGGUAGGUAGGUAGAGAAUACUAAGGCGCGCGAGAUAACUAUUGUUAAGGAACUCGGCAAAAUGACCCCGUAACUUCGGGAGAAGGGGUGCCGGAAUAGGUUUAGAGCUAAUUCCGGCCGCAGAGAAUAGGCCCAAGCGACUGUUUAGCAAAAACACAGGUCUCUGCUAAAUCGAAAGAUGACGUAUAGGGGCUGACGCCUGCCCGGUGCUGGAAGGUUAAGGGGAACUGUUAGCGUAAGCAAAGCAGUGAACCGAAGCCCCAGUAAACGGCGGCCGUAACUAUAACGGUCCUAAGGUAGCGAAAUUCCUUGUCGGGUGAGUUCGGCCCCGCACGAAAGGCGUAGCGAUUCGGGCACUGGCGCAACAAUAGGCUCGGUGAACGUGUAGUACCGGUAAAGCGGCCGGUUACCCGCAGCAGGAGGGAAAGACCCCGUGG
rnacentral:rRNA from 1 species